UACGUAGGGCGCAAGCGUUGUCCGGAAUUAUUGGGCGUAAAGGGCGCGUAGGCGGCUUGGUAAGUCAAAGGUGAAAUCCCUCGGCUCAACUGAGGAAUUGCCUUUGAAACUGCCUGGCUCGAGGCCGGGAGGGGGUAGCGGAAUUCCCAGUGUAGCGGUGAAAUGCGUAGAUAUUGGGAGGAACACCGGUGGCGAAGGCGGCUACCUGGACCGGUUCUGACGCUGAUGCGCGAAAGCGUGGGGAGCAAACAGG
rnacentral:rRNA from 1 species